rnacentral:rRNA from 1 species
UACAGAGGUCUCAAGCGUUGUUCGGAAUCACUGGGCGUAAAGGGUGUGUAGGCUGCGUGUUAAGUCAGCUGUGAAAUCCCGGGGCUCAACCUCGGAACUGCAUCCGAUACUGGCAUGCUAGAGAAUUGGAGAGGAGUCUAGAAUUCACGGUGUAGCAGUGAAAUGCGUAGAUAUCGUGAGGAAUACCAAGUGCGAAGGCAGGACUCUGGACAGUUUCUGACGCUGAGACACGAAGGCUAGGGGAGCAAACGGG